CUCACCGCUGUGGCCUCUCCCGUUGCGGAGCACAGGCUCCGGACGCGCAGGCUCAGCGGCCACGGCUCACGGGCCCAGCCGCUCCGCGGCACGUGGGAUCCUCCCGGACCGGGGCACGAACCCGCGUCCCCCGCAUCGGCAGGCGGACUCUCAACCACUGCGCCACCCGGGAAGCCCUAGUCUAACCUUUACAACCGUCUUGCAAGUAUUACCGUUAUUAUUCCCAAUUUUUUUCAGAGGAUGCAGCUGAAGGCUGAACUGUUAAGUGCCUGCUCACAGUAAAACUGCUAAGUGGUAGAGUCAGAAUAUAAGCCAGGCAGCCGGGGAUCAAAGAGGUGGAGCUCCCCUAGCAGGAGCUCACAGAGUAACGAGGGAUGGCAGGAAGGGUGGAAACUGCAGUCUGGUGAAAGACAGACUUACUUAAAAGAAGAAAAUGAGGCUGGGCCCUGGUCAAGCUGGCUGGACCCAAAUGCCAUCCAAAUUCCACUAGGGACACAGGAAGCCAAGGACGCCACUUGCCACGGCGUUGCUCUGUGCCAGCUGCAGCUGUCUGGGCUUCAUUUUAAUGAAGGCAGACAAAGGAGGCUCUCGGCCUUGAACAUUCCUCUCGCAAGGCCCAGAGGGAAAAGUGACAUUAGUAAAACAUUCCUCCCUUGUCCUUUUAUCAAGGCCACCCCAACUCAUCCUGUCCUUCAGUUGGUCCUGUUGUCUCCACCUCCACAAUGUUAGGAUUCCAUCUCCUCGCACAGACCACAGUCCAUUCCAACAUUAAGACUCCCCUGGACUGGGACUUCCCUGGUGGCGCAGUGGUUGAGAACCCACCUUCCAAUGCAAGGGACAUGGGUUCGAGCCCCGGUCCGGGAAGAUCCCACAUGCCGCGGAGCAACUAAGCCCGUGCGCCACAACUACUGAGCCCGUGCUCUAGAGCCCGCGAGCCACAACUGCUGAGCCCGCGUGCCACAGCUACUGAGCCCGUGCAUCACAACUACUGAGCCUGCACUCUAGAGCCCGUGCUCUGCAACAAGAGAAGCCACCGCAAUGGGAAGCCUGCGCACUGCAACGAAGACCCAGUGCAGCCAAAAAU